rnacentral:rRNA from 1 species
UGGGGAAUUGUUCGCAAUGGGCGCAAGCCUGACGACGCAACGCCGCGUGGAGGAUGAAGGUCUUCGGAUUGUAAACUCCUGUUGCCCGGGACGAAUGACUCCAACCUAAUACGUUGGAGUGUGACGGUACCGGGUGAGGAAGCCCCGGCUAACUCUGUGCCAGCAGCCGCGGUAAUACAGAGGGGGCAAGCGUUGUUCGGAAUUACUGGGCGUAAAGGGCGCGUAGGCGGCCUGUUAAGUCGAACGUGAAAUCCCCGGGCUCAACCCGGGAACUGCGUCCGAUACUGGCAGGCUUGAAUCCGGGAGAGGGAUGCGGAAUUCCAGGUGUAGCGGUGAAAUGCGUAGAUAUGCGGAGGAACACCGAUGGCGAAGGCAAUCCCCUGGACCUGUACUGACGCUCAUGCACGAAAGCGUGGGGAGCAAA